rnacentral:rRNA from 1 species
GAUGAACGCUAGCGGCAGGCCUAAUACAUGCAGGUCGAACGGUGUCUUCGGACAUAGUGGCGCACGGGUGCGUAACACGUAUGCAACCUACCUUACAUUGGGGGAUAGCCUUUCGAGAGGGAGAUUAAUACCGCAUAAGACAGUAGCUGGGCAUCCAGCAGCUGUUAAAGAUUUAUCGAUGUAAGCUGGGCAUGCGUCCAAUUAGCUAGUUGGUGAGGUAACGGCUCACCAAGGCAACGAUUGGUAGGGGAACUGAGAGGUCAAUCCCCCACACUGGCACUGAGAUACGAGCCAGACUCCUACGGGAGGCAGCAGUAGGGAAUAUUGGGCAAUGGACGCAAGUCUGACCCAGCCAUGCCGCGUGCAGGAUGAAGGCGUUAUGCGUUGUAAACUGCUUUUAUACAGGAAGAAACGACUCUUGCGAGAGGCAUUGACGGUACUGUAUGAAUAAGCACCGGCUAACUCCGUGCCAGCAGCCGCGGUAACAC